rnacentral:SRP_RNA from 1 species
GCCAGGUGUGGUGGUGCACACCUGUAAUCCCAGCUAUUCAGGAGGCUGAGGCAGGAGAAUUGCUUGAACCCAGGAGGCGGAGGUUGCAGUGAGCUGAGAUCAUGCCACUGCACUCCAGCCUGGGUAACAGAGCGAGACUCUGUCUCAG